CACCGCCCGUCGCUCCUACCGAUUGAAUGGUCCGGUGAAGUGUUCGGAUCGCGGCGAAGGGGGCGGUUCGCCGCCCCCGACGUCGCGAGAAGUCCAUUGAACCUUAUCAUUUAGAGGAAGGAGAAGUCGUAACAAGGUUUCCGUAGGUGAACCUGCGGAAG
rnacentral:rRNA from 1 species